rnacentral:rRNA from 1 species
UACGUAGGGUGCAAGCGUUGUCCGGAAUUAUUGGGCGUAAAGAGCGUGUAGGCGGGCUGGUAAGUCAGUAGUGAAAUCUCGGCGCUCAACGCCGAAACGUCUUUUGAUACUACCAGUCUUGAAUAAGCGAGAGAUCCGUGGAAUUCCGAGUGUAGCAGUGAAAUGUGUAGAUAUUCGGAAGAACACCAGAGGCGAAGGCAGCGGGUUGGCGCUUUAUUGACGCUCAGGCACGAAAGCAUGGGGAUCAAACAGG